ACAACAACAUUCGGAUCGUUGGUCUACCGAGCUAUAUCGCCCGUUCGGUGGAAGAUCUUCCUUUCGUUGUUAUA
rnacentral:pre_miRNA from 1 species